GGAGUUUGGUCCGUGUCUCAGUACCAAUGUGGGGGACCUUCCUCUCAGAACCCCUACUGAUCGUCGGCUAGGUGGGCCGUUACCCCGCCUACUACCUAAUCAGACGCAUCCCCAUCCCAUAGCGAUAAAUCUUUGGUAUUGCUCAGAUGUCCUCAUAAUACAACAUAGGGCAUUAAUCCGACUUUCGCCGGGCUAUUCCCUACUAUGGGGAAGGUUGGAUACGCGUUACUCACCCGUGCGCCGGUCGCCAUCUAUCAAAGCAAGCUUCGAUAAUGCUGCCCCUCGACUUGCAUGUGUUAAGCCUGUAGCUAGCGUUCAUC
rnacentral:rRNA from 1 species